rnacentral:rRNA from 1 species
AUUGAACGCUGGCGGCAUGCCUUACACAUGCAAGUCGAACGGUAACGGGCCUUCGGGUGCCGACGAGUGGCGAACGGGUGAGUAAUGCAUCGGAACGUACCUUUCAGUGGGGGAUAACGUAGCGAAAGUUACGCUAAUACCGCAUAUUCUGUGAGCAGGAAAGCAGGGGAUCGCAAAACCUUGCGCUGAUUGAGCGGCCGAUGUCAGAUUAGCUAGUUGGUGAGGUAAAGGCCCACCAAGGCGACGAUCUGUAGCGGGUCUGAGAGGAUGAUCCGCCACACUGGAGCUGAGACACGGUCCAGACUCCUACGGGAGGCAGCAGUGGGGAAUUUUGGACAAUGGGGGCAACCCUGAUCCAGCCAUGCCGCGUGAGUGAAGAAGGCCUUCGGGUUGUAAAGCUCUUUCGGUCGGGAAGAAAUCGCAUGGGUUAAUACCCUGUGCGGAUGACGGUACCGGCAUAAGAAGCACCGGCUAACUACGUGCCAGCCGCCGCCGUAACAC